CCUACGGGAGGCUGCAGUGAGGAAUAUUGGUCAAUGGGCGCGAGCCUGAACCAGCCAAGUAGCGUGAAGGAUGAAUGCCCUAUGGGUCGUAAACUUCUUUUAUAAAGGCAUAAAGUGAGGCACGUGUGCCUUUUUGUAUGUACUUUAUGAAUAAGGAUCGGCUAACUCCGUGCCAGCAGCCGCGGUAAUACGGAGGAUCCGAGCGUUAUCCGGAUUUAUUGGGUUUAAAGGGUGCGUAGGUGGGUUUUUAAGGCAGUUGUGAAAGUUUGCGGCUCAACCGGAAAAUUGCAAUUGAUACUGGCAGUCUUGAGUAUAGUUGAGGCAGGCGGAAUUCGUGGUGUAGCGGUGAAAUGCUUAGAUAUCACGAAGAACUCCGAUUGCGAAGGCAGCUUACUAAACUGUCACUGACAUUGAUGCUCGAAAGUGUGGGUAUCAAACAGGAUUAGAUACCCGAGUAGUC
rnacentral:rRNA from 1 species